rnacentral:rRNA from 1 species
GAACGCGAAGAACCUUACCCGGGCUUGAACUGCCGGCGAACGAUACAGAGAUGUUGAGGCCCUUCGGGGCGCCGGUGGAGGUGCUGCAUGGUUGUCGUCAGCUCGUGCCGUGAGGUGUCGGCUUAAGUGCCAUAACGAGCGCAACCCCUCUCUUUAGUUGCCAUCAGGUUAAGCUGGGCACUCUGAAGACACUGCCACCGUAAGGUGUGAGGAAGGUGGGGAUGACGUCAAAUCAGCACGGCCCUUACGUCCGGGGCUACACACGUGUUACAAUGGGGGGUACAGAAAGUCGGUGUGAUGUAAAUCAUAUCUAAUCCUUAAAGCCCUCCUCAGUUCGGACUGGGGUCUGCAACCCGACCCCACGAAGCUGGAUUCGCUAGUAAUCGCGCAUCAGCCAUGGCGCGGUGAAUACGUUCCCGGGUCUUGUACACACC